CUCAGGAACUCCGCCAGCAAUCAUUUCAUUAGGCAGGAAUGGCGUUCCCAUUACCAGAUAGCAGGCCUGCUUCUUCCCCACCAUGGCCCCCUCCCUGCUGCAAAGCCCCCUCGCAACUUCCUGCUCGCAGCAGCCACACAAGGCCUCAUUCUAAUCCUGCAGCUUGUCUGUUUAGUGUCUUUGGAGAGGGAAAAGGAGCAGAAAAGUAGCUUGUCUUUUAUUUUUAUUUGCCUUCUUUUUUUUCCCUUCCUCCAGAUAUCCCCCUGGGGCACCGGCCUAGAACAGAGCAACAAAUAUUUACUAAUUCCAUUAACAGAAGAGAGUUGGAAUUUUUUUUUCCCAAGCGAAUAUCCGAGGCCCCAAGUUCAUGUAGUGACCCAAAGUGACACUUUGGUUCACCAAGACGAAGACGCGUCCUUCCUCUCUCUAUGGAUCUUUCAGGUAGGACUGGGAGUAAAGGGAGGGAGGAUGGGAGAUGAUAGAUUUCCAAGACAGUGAGUUCUGAGAACACAGAAGCGUCUUCUGGCCAGGCCUAUUCAAUGUCUUUACCUUCCCUGCUUCUGAGGACAAACCAAUGGCACUUCUUUGCAAGGGGAAGGGAGAUCUCUUAUGGGAAGGGGGAGCUUCUUCUGAAAUGGCAACUCCUGAUCUCUGGUAAGGGAGGAUGUAGAGGAAAAAAUACUCAUGGGAUUAGGUUGAUGAAUGCUACACUGGGAACAGAUUUAGUGAUUGCAUUCAUCUCCUAGGGCUGCCCCCAGCUAAUGACCACAAACAGGUGGCUUAAAAUGAGAGAAAUGUAUUCUUCCACAGUCCUAGAGGCCAGAAGUCUAGAAUCAAGGUGUCAUCAAAGCCACGCUCCCUCUGAAGGCUCCAGGGAGGAAUCCUUCCUUGCUUCUUCCAGCUUCUGAUGGCCCCAGGCAUUCUUGGCUCAAGCCUGCAUCACUCCAAUCUCUGCUCCCAUGUUCAUAUGGCUUUCUCAAUGUGUAUCAAAUCUCCCUUUCCUUUCUCUGAUAGGGACACUUGUCCUUGGGCUUAGGGUGCACCCUAAAUUAAGGAUGAUCUCAUCCUAAGAUUCUUACAUCUGCAAAGACCCUAUUUCCAAAUAAAGCCACAUUCAUAGUUAUGUGGUGGGGGAUGUUAGGACUUGGACUUAGGUAUUCAGGAGACACCAUUAAACCUGCUACAGUGAUCAUAGAGUGCUUCUCAACAAUGCCACAUGUGGAAGCCAAUUAAAAGCAUCCUGAAGCAACACAGCUGGAGAAAUGCUCAGUGCUGAGUUCCUUCUCUUCUCGUUCCAUCCUGCUUAUUAAGGAAAAAGCCUUAGCUGGGUGCUAGGGUCCUUGAACGCUUUCUUACCCCCUUGUGAAUCCUCCUUUUUAAGAAAGAGAGAUGACAUCCCUGGGAGUCAAACUUCAGCAGGUUAAAUAAAUCCAGUAUUCCUUAUACUCUUGACUCACAUGACCUUCUAUUUAUGAAAAUAGAUACUGGUCUUCCCCUGAUGUCAUGACAUGUGGCUUCCUUUUCGAUUAAAUUAAAUUUGAGCAAUUGAUAAGCAAUUGAGUUGAGAAAAAUAUUAAGUAGAUAAAUAAUGGAAGUAGUACAUAGCCAUGGCAAGUAUGGGUUUGCUGCACAGAUUAAGGAAAACUGGGAAAUACUGAAAUGGCAUGCUGGUUUUCCACAGCAGCCCAACACUUGUGAGGUUCACCAGCACGAGGGUGGUUAAGACAGGUUCAGUCCGCUGGAGUCUGCUGUUUCUCCUUGAACCUGAGCCACUGUUUCUCAUGGUUAUAUGCAUUGGGUUUCCCCAUGAGAUUUUAUUUGGGGGUGGGAAAAAAACCCAAAGCUCCAUAACUAAAAGAAAGCUUGACACAUCAACCUUCUCUGUCACUUCACUUCUAUUUUACAGAUGAAGAAAUUAAGGCUCAGGAGGGAGGAAAAAAAAUAAAAGAAAGAAUUGUCCAAGGUCACCCAGGCAUCUGGACUCCCAUAUGUUGAGCUACUUCUGCUCAUGGGGCAGCUGCAAUACAUGAAUUCUUCACUACAUGAGUUAUUGUAUUAAGUCCUCAGAGCAGCACUGUGAAAUUGCUGGAAUUUUACAGGGGAGGAAACUGAGGCUCAGAGAGGUUAGGAGCUCAUCUGAAAUGACUGAGCUGAUAAAGAGAGGAGCUGGGAUUCCCACCCAUAUCUGACUGUCUUUGCAUCUGGUGUAUUACUGCAGCAGCCUGUUGCCUUCUCUCACUGCAUGCACACACACACAGGCGCAUGUGCAUGCACACACACACAUACACACACACAUACACAUACACACGCAGAAGGUUUCUGCACCAAAGCAUUUGGCUGAGGGCAUGCUAAGUCCUGGUCAUUUUUGCAGGCUCUGUAUUCACACACCUUGUCCAUAUGACACUUCUCUGUUGGAUCUGCUUGGAAAUUCUUGCAGGUGACAGCAUAUUUCUGGCUUAUUCUGAAGGGUAUUAAGUGCAAGAGAGACUUUCCUUCUUGGAGAAAGAAGGGGGCUGUGCGUAAAGAGAGAGAUUUUGAGCCUGAGGGUGCCAAGUUAUCGCUUUCUACUGUGGAAAUUUCUAGAUGUUGGAAGAUAAUGAAAUGAAGUCAAGUAUUUGACUUUUUUUCUUUUUAACAGCCAGAUGUUGAACCCUGACACCAUGAUCACAGGAGUGACCUGCCUCUGAUGUGUUAGCU
rnacentral:lncRNA from 1 species